AUAGGGUCAAGUGAAUAAGUGCAUCAGGCGGAUGCCUUGGCGAUGAUAGGCGACGAAGGACGUGUAAGCCUGCGAAAAGCGCGGGGGAGCUGGCAAUAAAGCUAUGAUUCCGCGAUGUCCGAAUGGGGAAACCCACUGCAUUCUGUGCAGUAUCCUAAGUUGAAUACAUAGGCUUAGAGAAGCGAACCCGGAGAACUGAACCAUCUAAGUACCCGGAGGAAAAGAAAUCAACCGAGAUUCCGCAAGUAGUGGCGAGCGAACGCGGAGGAGCCUGUACGUAAUAACUGUCGAGAUAGAAGAACAAGCUGGGAAGCUUGACCAUAGCGGGUGACAGUCCCGUAUUCGAAAUCUCAACAGCGGUACUAAGCGUACGAAAAGUAGGGCGGGACACGUGAAAUCCUGUCUGAAUAUGGGGGGACCAUCCUCCAAGGCUAAAUACUCAUCAUCGACCGAUAGUGAACCAGUACCGUGAGGGAAAGGCGAAAAGAACCCCGGGAGGGGAGUGAAACAGAACCUGAAACCUGAUGCAUACAAACAGUGGGAGCGCCUUAGUGGUGUGACUGCGUACCUUUUGUAUAAUGGGUCAACGACUUACAUUCAGUAGCGAGCUUAACCGGAUAGGGGAGGCGUAGGGAAACCGAGUCUUAAUAGGGCGAUGAGUUGCUGGGUGUAGACCCGAAACCGAGUGAUCUAUCCAUGGUCAGGUUGAAGGUGCCGUAACAGGUACUGGAGGACCGAACCCACGCAUGUUGCAAAAUGCGGGGAUGAGCUGUGGGUAGGGGUGAAAGGCUAAACAAACUCGGAGAUAGCUGGUUCUCCCCGAAAACUAUUUAGGUAGUGCCUCGAGCAAGACACUGAUGGGGGUAAAGCACUGUUAUGGCUAGGGGGUUAUUGCAACUUACCAACCCAUGGCAAACUCAGAAUACCAUCAAGUGGUUCCUCGGGAGACAGACAGCGGGUGCUAACGUCCGUUGUCAAGAGGGAAACAACCCAGACCGCCGGCUAAGGUCCCAAAUGAUAGAUUAAGUGGUAAACGAAGUGGGAAGGCACAGACAGCCAGGAUGUUGGCUUAGAAGCAGCCAUCAUUUAAAGAAAGCGUAAUAGCUCACUGGUCGAGUCGUCCUGCGCGGAAGAUGUAACGGGGCUCAAAUCUAUAACCGAAGCUGCGGAUGCCGGUUUACCGGCAUGGUAGGGGAGCGUUCUGUAGGCUGAUGAAGGUGCAUUGUAAAGUGUGCUGGAGGUAUCAGAAGUGCGAAUGUUGACAUGAGUAGCGAUAAAGCGGGUGAAAAGCCCGCUCGCCGAAAGCCCAAGGUUUCCUACGCAACGUUCAUCGGCGUAGGGUAAGUCGGCCCCUAAGGCGAGGCAGAAAUGCGUAGUCGAUGGGAAACAGGUUAAUAUUCCUGUACUUGAUUCAAAUGCGAUGUGGGGACGGAGAAGGUUAGGUUGGCAAGCUGUUGGAAUAGCUUGUUUAAGCCGGUAGGUGGAAGACUUAGGCAAAUCCGGGUUUUCUUAACACCGAGAAGUGAUGACGAGUGUCUACGGACACGAAGCAACCGAUACCACGCUUCCAGGAAAAGCCACUAAGCUUCAGUUUGAAUCGAACCGUACCGCAAACCGACACAGGUGGGCAGGAUGAGAAUUCUAAGGCGCUUGAGAGAACUCGGGAGAAGGAACUCGGCAAAUUGAUACCGUAACUUCGGGAGAAGGUAUGCCCUCUAAGGUUAAGGACUUGCUCCGUAAGCCCCGGAGGGUCGCAGAGAAUAGGUGGCUGCGACUGUUUAUUAAAAACACAGCACUCUGCCAACACGAAAGUGGACGUAUAGGGUGUGACGCCUGCCCGGUGCCGGAAGGUUAAUUGAAGAUGUGCAAGCAUCGGAUCGAAGCCCCGGUAAACGGCGGCCGUAACUAUAACGGUCCUAAGGUAGCGAAAUUCCUUGUCGGGUAAGUUCCGACCCGCACGAAUGGCGUAACGAUGGCCACACUGUCUCCUCCCGAGACUCAGCGAAGUUGAAGUGGUUGUGAAGAUGCAAUCUACCCGCUGCUAGACGGAAAGACCCCGUGAACCUUUACUGUAGCUUUGCAUUGGACUUUGAAGUCACUUGUGUAGGAUAGGUGGGAGGCUUGGAAGCAGAGACGCCAGUCUCUGUGGAGUCGUCCUUGAAAUACCACCCUGGUGUCUUUGAGGUUCUAACCCAGACCCGUCAUCCGGGUCGGGGACCGUGCAUGGUAGGCAGUUUGACUGGGGCGGUCUCCUCCCAAAGCGUAACGGAGGAGUUCGAAGGUUACCUAGGUCCGGUCGGAAAUCGGACUGAUAGUGCAAUGGCAAAAGGUAGCUUAACUGCGAGACCGACAAGUCGGGCAGGUGCGAAAGCAGGACAUAGUGAUCCGGUGGUUCUGUAUGGAAGGGCCAUCGCUCAACGGAUAAAAGGUACUCCGGGGAUAACAGGCUGAUUCCGCCCAAGAGUUCAUAUCGACGGCGGAGUUUGGCACCUCGAUGUCGGCUCAUCACAUCCUGGGGCUGUAGUCGGUCCCAAGGGUAUGGCUGUUCGCCAUUUAAAGUGGUACGUGAGCUGGGUUUAAAACGUCGUGAGACAGUUUGGUCCCUAUCUGCAGUGGGCGUUGGAAGUUUGACGGGGGCUGCUCCUAGUACGAGAGGACCGGAGUGGACGAACCUCUGGUGUACCGGUUGUAACGCCAGUUGCAUAGCCGGGUAGCUAAGUUCGGAAGAGAUAAGCGCUGAAAGCAUCUAAGCGCGAAACUCGCCUGAAGAUGAGACUUCCCUUGCGGUUUAACCGCACUAAAGGGUCGUUCGAGACCAGGACGUUGAUAGGUGGGGUGUGGAAGCGCGGUAACGCGUGAAGCUAACCCAUACUAAUUGCCCGUGAGGCUUGACUCUAU
rnacentral:rRNA from 1 species